rnacentral:rRNA from 1 species
AUGACCACAGUGGCCUCGCUCUCCCUGGUGCCGCACCUGCUCAUCAAGCCCUCCUUCCGCUGCCUCUCCCGAAAGGGAGUUGGCAGAUAUGGCGGAAUCAAGGUGUACGCGGUGCUCAGGGAUGAUAGUGCCGACUACCUGAAGGAUAACCACCACUGGGAGGCCCUGUUCCAUGUCGAUGACCCCGGCCCAAGGGUUCCGAUCGAGAAGGGCCAGUACCUGGAGGCCAAGCAGGCGCUCGACGUCGUCCGCUUCGACAUCCAGUACUGUGACUGGAGGGCCCGGCAGGACCUGCUCACCAUCAUGGUGCUUCACAACAAGGUGGUGGAGGUUCUUAACCCUUUAGCGAGGGACUUCAAGUCGGUUGGGAACCUGAGGAAAGACCUUGACGGUCUACAGGAGGAACUGGCAAAGGCUCACAACCAGCUUUAUUUAUCGGAAUCCAGAGUGUCGUCGGCCCUCGAUAAGCUAGCACAAAUGGAGACGGUGGUCAAUGAGAGGCUGUUGUCGGAUGGGAGCGCUUUCGCAAACACGGCCGAUUGCGCUUCUCUUGAUCCGAGUACUUCUCUUGAUACAACUACGAGCACUUCCUCCACGGUCCGACUCGGAGCUAAAAAACCGAAGCGUCGCAGUCUCAACAUUUCUGGCCCUGUCAAGCCUUACAGUGCCAAUCUGAAGAACUUCUGGUACCCGGUGGCUUUUUCCAGUGACCUGAAGGAUGACACAAUGGUGCCCAUAGAUUGUUUCGAGGAACAGUGGGUAAUAUUCCGCGGAAAAGAUAAAAGGCCUGGAUGUGUGCAGAAUACAUGUGCUCACAGAGCCUGCCCUCUUGAUCUUGGUUCAGUGAAUGAGGGUAGAAUCACUUGCCCUUACCAUGGGUGGGAGUAUUCGACUGACGGAAAAUGCGAGAAAAUGCCAUCAACAAAGAUGCUCAACGUGCGCAUCCGGGCAUUGCCGUGCUUCGAGCAAGAAGGAAUGGUCUGGAUCUGGCCCGGCGAUGACACCCCUACACCCACCAUCCCUUCCUUGCUGCCCCCUUCAGGGUUUACAAUCCAUGCAGAGAUAGUGAUGGAGCUACCGGUGGAACAUGGACUUCUCUUGGACAAUCUACUAGACCUCGCUCAUGCCCCUUUUACUCAUACAUCCACCUUUGCCAAGGGCUGGAGUGUUCCAAGCUUUGUGAAGUUCUUGACACCUACAUCUGGGCUCCAAGGGUACUGGGAUCCUUAUCCCAUCGAUAUGGAGUUCCGACCGCCCUGCAUGGUCUUGUCAACCAUUGGCAUCUCCAAGCCUGGAAAGCUAGAAGGGAAGAGCACCCAACAAUGUGCAACGCAUCUCCACCAGCUCCAUGUAUGCUUGCCCUCAUCGACGAAUAAAACCAGGCUGUUGUACCGGAUGUCUCUCGACUUCGCACCCUGGAUGAAGCACAUGCCUUUCAUGCACCUGUUGUGGUCACAUUUCGCUGAGAAGGUCUUGAAUGAGGAUCUGCGGCUUGUGCUCGGCCAACAAGACCGAAUGAACAAUGGAGCUAACGUUUGGAACUGGCCAGUGUCGUAUGACAAGCUCGGCAUCCGGUAUCGGCUAUGGAGGGAUGCAGUCGAGAGGGGUGUCGAUCGGUUACCGUUCAGCAACGAAAUUGAGAGUGGAUCAUAG